rnacentral:rRNA from 1 species
UACAGAGGUCCCGAGCGUUGUUCGGAUUCAUUGGGCGUAAAGGGUGCGUAGGCGGCGGGGCAAGUCUGAUGUGAAAUCCCGGGGCUCAACCCCGGAACUGCAUUGGAUACUGCCUCGCUCGAGUACUGGAGAGGGAACUGGAAUUUACGGUGUAGCAGUGAAAUGCGUAGAGAUCGUAAGGAAGGCCAGUGGCGAAGGCGAGUUCCUGGACAGUUACUGACGCUGAGGCACGAAAGCGUGGGGAGCAAACAGG